CAGUCGCCACGGGAAUACGUAGGGUGCGAGCGUUAAUCGGAAUUACUGGGCGUAAAGCGUGCGCAGGCGGUUUUGUAAGACAGGCGUGAAAUCCCCGGGCUCAACCUGGGAAUGGCGCUUGUGACUGCAAAGCUAGAGUGCGGCAGAGGGGGAUGGAAUUCCGCGUGUAGCAGUGAAAUGCGUAGAUAUGCGGAGGAACACCGAUGGCGAAGGCAAUCCCCUGGGCCUGCACUGACGCUCAUGCACGAAAGCUAGGGGAGCAAAUGGGAUUAGAGACCCCCGUAGUCCCUGUCUCUUAUAC
rnacentral:rRNA from 1 species